rnacentral:lncRNA from 1 species
UGCAUCUUCUGAAGAUCAGCCACAGCACAUAGAGGAUUCCUAGUGUGGGGCUAGGAAAGGGUAUGCAGUCAGUGUUUCGGAUUCACAGUGGACCCACAUUUCCAUGUGGAGGAAGUCAAACCCACCUCCCAGAGUCGUGAAAGUCCAUUAUCUGUAGCCUGUUAAUUCUCUGAGAAUGGAGAAGGGGGGUUAAAUGUAAAGGUCAGUUAAAAGAUAAUUACCUUGCAAUUCUUCCACCAAUAUUUCCUCUUCAACUUGGCUGCGCUCGUUUCAAAUUGAGAAGCGCCUGCCUGCAGUGCGUCUGCACGGUCGUCUAACUCAGAGAGCUUCUGGUCUCUUUCCAGAACCUUGUCCACGUUAACUCGCAUUAUGUCCACCACCUAGAUGAGUGUGAUCACAGCAAGUAAUGCACAAAGAAUGGAGGAACAGGGCCAGGUGCGGUACUCAUCUUUUAAAAUCUUCAUCAAAGGCUUUAUUUCUCCCCAUGCAGAUCUUUCUUAACCACUCUGACUCUGAAGUCAUUAUUGGCUCCAUUACUUGGAAAGUAUCACUUUGGUUUUUCAGGUAUAAAGUCCCGCCUCCUCGAAUAGAUCACAGGUUCCUGGGUCUUCUUACUCUCUUCUCUGUAUCCUAGAUAGCACCUAGCAUGUGCCUUGGUAUACAACAGUCUGAUGGGCUGUUUGAACAGUCACUUUACAUCUGUCAUGUGUCAAUGACCAGGGCUACAACAGAUCUCAUCACCGUCCUCACGGAGUUUAGUAUCUGGUAGAUAAGUAAGGACCAUGCCGUGGCGCUAGACUCUUUCCAUGCUUUUCCUCCUUUAACCCUCAUAACUCUCUGAGGGGAAUAUUACUCCUAUUUUAC